rnacentral:rRNA from 1 species
GGACUACAGGGGUAUCUAAUCCCGUUCGCUCCCCUCGCUUUCGCCCCUGAGCGUCAGGUACCAGCCAGGACACUGCCUUCGCCUUUGGUGUUCUUCCGGAUCUCUACGCAUUUCACCACUCCACCCGGAGUUCCAUGUCCCUCUCUGGCCCUCAAGUCACGCAGUCUAUCAGACGCUCUCCCAGUGAAGCCGGGAGCUGUCACCUGACACUUGCCUAACCGCCUGCGGGCGCUUUACGCCCAGUAACUCCGGACAACGCUUGCCCCCUACGUAUUACCGCGGCGGCUGGCAC